rnacentral:rRNA from 1 species
AAGUCGAACGGAGUAGCAAUACUUAGUGGCAGACGGGUGAGUAACAUGUGGGUAUCUACCCUAUGGCCUGGAAUAACACGAGGAAACUUGUGCUAAUACUGGAUAAGUCUUUACGGAGAAAGCUUUAUGCACCAUUGGAUGAGCCUGCACUUGAUUAGUUUGUUGGUAGGGUAAUGGCCUACCAAGACUUUGAUCAAUAGCUGAUUUGAGAGGAUGAUCAGCCACAUUGGGACUGAGACACGGCCCAAACUCCUACGGGAGGCAGCAGUGGGGAAUCUUGCACAAUGGAGGAAACUCUGAUGCAGCGAUGCCGCGUGAGUGAAGAAGGCCCUUGGGUUGUAAAGCUCUUUCGUCGGGGAAGAAAAUGACUGUACCCGAAUAAGAAGGUCCGGCUAACUUCGUGCCAGCAGCCGCGGUAAUACGAAGGGACCUAGCGUAGUUCGGAAUUACUGGGCUUAAAGAGUUCGUAGGUGGUUGAAAAAGUUGGUGGUGAAAUCCCAGAGCUUAACUCUGGAACUGCCAUCAAAACUUUUCAGCUAGAGUUUGAUAGAGGAAAGCAGAAUUUCUAGUGUAGAGGUGAAAUUCGUAGAUAUUAGAAAGAAUACCAAUUGCGAAGGCAGCUUUCUGGAUCAUUACUGACACUGAGGAACGAAAGCAUGGGUAGCGAAGAGGAUUAGAUACCCUCGUAGUCCAUGCCGUAAACGAUGUGUGUUAGACGUUGGAAAUUUAUUUUCAGUGUCGCAGCGAAAGCGAUAAACACACCGCCUGGGGAGUACGACCGCAAGGUUAAAACUCAAAUGAAUUGACGGGGACCCGCACAAGUAGUGGAGCAUGUGGUUUAAUUCGAAGAUACGCGCAGAACCUUACCAACACUUGACAUGUUCGUCGCGACUUUAAGAGAUUAAAGUUUUCGGUUCGGCCGGACGAAACACAGGUGCUGCAUGGCUGUCGUCAGCUCG